rnacentral:misc_RNA from 1 species
GUUUGUUUCUUUCUUUCAACUUUCCUUUCGUUUCCUUCUCUUUCCUUUCUCUCAUUAUCUAUUGAUUGUGUAUCCGUCAAUCUGUUCGUUUCCUUUCCAAUUUCACAGCAAAACACAAUCUUUUACUGCAUCAUUCCUGUUUUUAUAAUCUCUACAGUUUCCAAUUCUUCUACCAUUGAGAUCGAAGGGAAACAACUGCAAAAGCAGAAAAACAGGAAUGGCAGUGGCUUUUCCUGUCGGAAUUGUCAUCGCUGCCGUACUUUCGCACGUUACACUUGUUCUUUCUUCUUUUCCGGCUACUCUUACUCUUGAGAGGGGGAUUCCUCCCAGUCAUAGGCUCGAGUUGAACCAGCUCAGAGAGCGAGAUAGCUUUAGGCAUCGUAGAAUAUUGCAGUCUGCUGGUGGUGUCGUGGAUUUCCCUGUUCAAGGAACCUUCAAUCCUUUCCUUGUUGGGUAAAUUUGUUGGUUGUUUGUAUUGUUCACGUGAUGUUGAGUUUUGGGUUCUUGUUUUUGUUCAUGUUUUGGUGGUUGGUAAUCAUGUGGUUGUACGGAUAUCCAAUUGGGGCAAAUGUAAACAAUUUAAUGCCUGUCGGUGGUUUCUUUGUUUAAGGGUCUUUAUGUUUCUACUUUCUAUUGUUUACAAGUUUCAUCGCUUUCAGGAUUGGAUUUGUUGUUCUGGGUUUCCAAUUUUGGAGUUUUUGACUAUGGAAUUUAGUAUUUUUCCUCGUUAUCUUUCAUGUUCGUUUUUAAUUGAACUAUGCAGCUUAGUUUUGUGGGCUCUUAGCGGCUUUUAUAUGGGACACAUUCACUUAUACACACGUAGAAACUUACAUAUGCAAUUGAGUUCGUAAUGGUUGUUACAUUGGAAGCAUAAAAGCUGCAUCUUGGAACCUGUAGAUUGUGCACUAAUUUUGGUGGUUUGAUACAGUGUACUCAUUUGAUUGUGUUAUAGGCUAUAUUAUACAAAAGUGCAGUUGGGUUCUCCUCCAAAAGAUUUCUACGUUCAAAUAGAUACUGGAAGUGAUGUUCUGUGGGUCAGUUGCAGCUCCUGCAAUGGUUGCCCCGUUACAAGUGGACUCCAAAUUCCACUCACUUCCUUUGAUCCUGGAAGCUCAUCAACAGCUUCAUUGAUCUCAUGUUCAGACCAACGAUGCACUGUUGGAAUUCAAUCAUCGGAUUCUCUCUGUUCUUCUCAAAGCAACCAGUGCGGCUACACGUUCCAAUAUGGGGAUGGCAGUGGUACAUCAGGCUAUUAUGUAGCUGAUUUUUUGCAUUUUGAUACGGUUCUUGGUGGAUCUGUGACUAAUAAUUCUUCAGCUGCUGUUGUCUUCGGGUGUAGCACAUUACAGACUGGAGACUUGACAAAGUCUGAUAGAGCAGUUGAUGGGAUCUUUGGUUUUGGGCAACAGGAUAUGUCUGUAAUCUCCCAGCUGGCUUCACAAGGGAUAACACCAAAGGUGUUCUCUCAUUGCUUAAAAGGAGAUGAUGCUGGUGGUGGUGUAUUAGUUCUUGGAGAAAUUGUGGAGCCAAAUAUUGUCUAUACUCCACUUGUCCCAACGCAGCCCCAUUAUAAUUUAAACCUACAGAGCAUAUCAGUCAAUGGCCAAACUUUAGCCAUUGAUUCAUCAGUUUUUGCAACAUCAAGCAAUCAGGGAACAAUAGUUGAUUCUGGAACAACCUUGGCAUACCUUGCUGAAGCAGCUUAUGAUCCGUUUGUCAAUGCUAUUACAACUAUUGUUUCACAAAAUGCACGCACAUAUCUUUCUAAGGGAAAUCAAUGUUACUUGGUCACCACAAGUAUUAAUGAUGUAUUUCCUCAAGUUAGUCUCAACUUUGCCGGAGGAGCAUCCAUGAUUUUAAAUCCUCAAGAUUACCUUCUACAGCAAAAUUCUGUUGUGAGUUGUUAAGAUUAUUAUUCAUUUACUUUUCUAUUUGUAGUUUAAGAAUAUAUCUGUAUAUAGUUCAUUUGCACAGAAGUUUGGAAUGAGAUGUCUGUCUCCUUCAAUUUAUUCUGUGGAAUUGAAUACUUGGUCUUGAUUGUUAAGAUUAUUAUUCAUUUACUUUUCUAUUUGUAGUUUAAGAAUAUAUCUGUAUAUAGUUCAUUUGCACAGAAGUUUGGAAUGAGAUGUCUGUCUCCUUCAAUUUAUUCUGUGGAAUUGAAUACUUGGUCUUGAUUUCCUUUUUUUUUUUUAUUGUUUCUUCUUCAAUUAGUUUUCCCCCUUUCUGAGUUCUACUUUUCUGUUAAAAUUGUUGGAGAAGUUAGCUUUUACAUUGUUCUUGCAUUUCUUUCGUAGAAAUCUGUUGACCUCUGAGGCUCUGAAUAAUAUUAUAAUGCCAAUUUUGAUAUCUUGUACAGCCCAAUCUUUGCUGCAAUAUUUGCACUCAAUUCAGUUUCUUGAUGUGUUGAAAUCUGAUGCUUUGGAGUGAUGAGGAAAUCAGUUGCUCUUUUCUAUUUUAUACCCACUAAUAUUCAUCUUUCUUCUUUUCUUUCAAAAAAACACAGAUUUUAACUUCAAAAUCAUCUUAAAUUUUAAUUCAUUUGUUUUGUGUUUCAUUCUAUAGGAGCAGUAGUAAGCUGCUACUACAUUUAUAUCCUCUUUUCUUUAUUUAAUUUUUUGUAUCCAAAUGUUACCCUUUGUUUCUACUGAAAGAUGGAAAUAUAUUCGGACAAUCUAUAAGCCUUCACAGUAAUCUGAAUACAUGCUUCUGUUUAAUAUUGUGCAGUAAUUUGAUCUGGUGUCUUGCAUCUCUAACUGGGAUAGUUGAAUUGGUAUUGCAGGGUGGAGCCGCAGUGUGGUGCAUUGGCUUUCAAAAAACUGCUGGUCAAGAAAUUACUAUCUUAGGAGAUCUUGUUCUUAAAGACAAAAUCUUUGUUUAUGAUAUUGCUAAUCAACGGCUUGGAUGGACUAAUUAUGAUUGUAAGUUGCUGCUGCCUUUUAUGUUUGGUAUCGAGACCACAUCGAAUUGAAAAAAUGUUUGUUCCCCAAACUUGUUUGAUUUUAGUCCUGCACCCAACUGAUCCUUUAUCUGUGAAUCCUGUCCUGUUAGGUUCAAUGUCUGUGAAUGUCUCGACAACUACAAAUACCGGCAAAAGCGAGUUCGUCAAUACAGGGAAUAUCAGUAACAAUAGUUCACCAAGGAAUGUACCUUACAAGCUGAUAUCAAUAACCAUGACAAUACUCCUGAAUAUCUUUACACUUGGAAGUUACCUGUUUUUAUAGCACGAGCUCUCAUUCUUUCUUUUGUAAUGCGCUGGCCGGUUUAUAUUUAUGGCAACCGGCAAAGCCAUGAACCCUUUAGUUCAUAUUCAGGGUGUGCAAUAGCAUGUGAUUCUUCAUUGUGGCUGCAUUUUCCUUGAGAAUAUUUUUCAUCAGCCAUGUAAGCUGAGAAUUUCAUCCAUUGAGAUUCCAUCUAUUGACAGCUUUGUAAAUUACAUUUCAUACAGGAUCAAUGAUGUAACGUCAGAAUUAAUUUUAUAG